CCCUGGUUAGCCCAGUUGGUAGAGCGCUCCACUGGAAAUGGAGAGGUCCCGGGUUCGAUACCCGGACAACGCG
rnacentral:tRNA from 2 species